GAUGAGCGCUGGCGGCGUGCCUAAUACAUGCAAGUCGAGCGAACAGAUGAGGAGCUUGCUCCUCUGACGUUAGCGGCGGACGGGUGAGUAACACGUGGAUAACCUACCUAUAAGACUGGGAUAACUUCGGGAAACCGGAGCUAAUACCGGAUAAUAUAUUGAACCGCAUGGUUCAAUAGUGAAAGACGGUUUUGCUGUCACUUAUAGAUGGAUCCGCGCCGCAUUAGCUAGUUGGUAAGGUAACGGCUUACCAAGGCAACGAUGCGUAGCCGACCUGAGAGGGUGAUCGGCCACACUGGAACUGAGACACGGUCCAGACUCCUACGGGAGGCAGCAGUAGGGAAUCUUCCGUAAUGGGCGAAAGCCUGACGGAGCAACGCCGCGUGAGUGAUGAAGGUCUUCGGAUCGUAAAACUCUGUUAUUAGGGAAGAACAAAUGUGUAAGUAACUAUGCACGUCUUGACGGUACCUAAUCAGAAAGCCACGGCUAACUACGUG
rnacentral:rRNA from 1 species